rnacentral:rRNA from 1 species
UACCUUCGGGUAGACAGGGAGACAGUGGUGCAUGGUUGUCGUCAGCUCGUGUCGUGAGAUGUUGGGUUAAGUCCCGCAACGAGCGCAACCCUUACGGUUAGUUGCCAGCGGGUUAUGCCGGGGCACUCUAGCUGAACUGCCGUUGACAAAACGGAGGAAGGUGGGGAUGACGUCAAAUCAUCAUGCCCUUUAUGUCCUGGGGCUACACACGUGCUACAAUGGCCUGUACAGAGGGAAGCGAAAGGGUGACCUGGAGCGAAUCCCAAAAAGCAGGUCUCAGUUCGGAUUGCAGGCUGCAACCCGCCUGCAUGAAGUCGGAAUCGCUAGUAAUCGCAGGUCAGCAUACUGCGGUGAAUACGUUCCCGGGCCUU